GAGCCUGUAGCUCAGCCGGGUCAGAGCACUGCUCUUAUAAGAAGCUGAUUCGUAAGGGUUAGUAUCUCUUGGUUUUCUAAGAGAGGCAGGGGUCCACGGUUCAAAUCCGUGCAGGCUCA
rnacentral:tRNA from 1 species